rnacentral:rRNA from 1 species
GUCUGUGACCACACCUCCCGGGAUGCAUCUGUGCUCAGAAGCUAAGCAGGGUCAGGCCUGGUGAGUACUGGGAUGGGGAAAUAGGAAAGGGACAAUUGGACAAAGUUU